rnacentral:rRNA from 1 species
GUUGGUGUUGAUUGCGGUGAGGGUCCACCCGUUCCCAUCCCGAACACGGAAGUUAAGCUCACUUGCGCCGAAAAUACUUGUCUGGAGACGGACCGGGAAGAUAGGUAACGCCGACA